AUUCCAGCUCCAAUAGCGUAUAUUAAAGUUGUUGCAGUUAAAAAGCUCGUAGUUGAACUUCGGAACCGGUCGAUUGGUCCGUCCUCUGGAUUGUGUACUGAUCGAUCUGUUCUUCUUCGCGAAGACCGCGUGUGCCCUUAACUGGGUGUGCACGGGAUUCACGACGUUUACUUUGAAAAAAUUAGAGUGUUCAAAGCAGGCAUUCGCUUGAAUAUCUCAGCAUGGAAUAAUAGAAUAGGACUUUGGUCUUAUUUUGUUGGUUCCCGAGACCGAAGUAAUGAUUAAUAGGGACAGUUGGGGGCAUUCGUAUUUCAUUGUCAGAGGUGAAAUUCUUGGAUUUAUGAAAGACGGACUUCUGCGAAAGCAUUUGCCAAGGAUGUUUUCAUUA
rnacentral:rRNA from 1 species